rnacentral:rRNA from 1 species
UACGUAGGGGGCAAGCGUUGUCCGGAUUUAUUGGGCGUAAAGAGCGUGUAGGCGGCCACACAGGUCAGCUGUGAAAACUCGAGGCUCAACCUCGAGACGUCGGUUGAAACCGUAUGGCUAGAGUCCGGAAGAGGAGAGUGGAAUUCCCGGUGUAGCGGUGAAAUGCGCAGAUAGUCGGGAAAGAACACCCGUGGCGAAGGCGGCUCUCUGGGACGGUACUGACGCUGAGACGCGAAAGCGUGGGGAGCGAACAGG